rnacentral:rRNA from 1 species
GCGGACGGGUGCGUAACACGUGGAUAACCUGCCCUGGUGUGGGGGAUACCCUGUAGAAAUACGGGCUAAUACCGCAUACGGUGGUCUUCAGGGGAGCUGGAGGCCAAGAAAGGUGGCAACACCGCAGCAGGAGGGGUCCGCGGCCGAUUAGCUAGUUGGUGGGGUAAGGGCUCACCAAGGCGACGAUCGGUAGCUGGUCUGAGAGGAUGAUCAGCCACACUGGGAUUGAGAACGGCCCAGACUCCUACGGGGGGCAGCAGUGAGGAAUCUUCGUCAAUGGGCGCAAGCCUGAACGAGCAACGCCGCGUGUGGGACGACGGCCUUCGGGUUGUAAACCACUUUUCUCUGGAGCGAGUUUUGGACGGUACCAGAGGAAGAAGUCUCGGUAACUACGUGCCAGCA